GGCGUGGUGGCGGAGUGGUUAUCGCGCAAGCCUAGAAAGCUUGUUCCUUCGGGAGCGCAGGAAAGUGCCUCGCUAUCCUAUCUCCGAUACCAUCAACUAACUGUGUUAUAGGUUCGAGUCCUGCCCACGUCG